ACACAUGCAAGUCGAGCGGAAAGGCCCUUCGGGGUACUCGAGCGGCGAACGGGUGAGUAACACGUGAGUAAUCUGCCCUGCGCUCUGGGAUAGCCACCGGAAACGGUGAUUAAUACCGGAUAGGACCACUUCACGCAUGUGAUGGUGGUGGAAAGUUUUUUCGGCGCAGGAUGUGCUCGCGGCCUAUCAGCUUGUUGGUGAGGUAACGGCUCACCAAGGCUUUGACGGGUAACCGGCCUGAGAGGGUGACCGGUCACACUGGGACUGAGACACGGCCCAGACUCCUACGGGAGGCAGCAGUGGGGAAUAUUGGACAAUGGGCGGAAGCCUGAUCCAGCAACGCCGCGUGAGGGAUGACGGCCUUCGGGUUGUAAACCUCUUUCAGUACCGACGAAGCGCAAGUGACGGUAGGUACAGAAGAAGGACCGGCCAACUACGUGCCAGCAGCCGCGGUAAUACGUAGGGUCCGAGCGUUGUCCGGAAUUAUUGGGCGUAAAGGGCUCGUAGGCGGUUUGUCGCGUCGGGAGUGAAAACACCGGGCUUAACUCGGUGCUUGCUUUCGAUACGGGCAGACUAGAGGUAUGCAGGGGAGAAUGGAAUUCCUGGUGUAGCGGUGAAAUGCGCAGAUAUCAGGAGGAACACCGGUGGCGAAGGCGGUUCUCUGGGCAUUACCUGACGCUGAGGAGCGAAAG
rnacentral:rRNA from 1 species